AAGAAUUUAAGUUAAAAAAACUUUUGUCCUUCAAAGUCAAUAAUAGGAAUUAUUCCUAAUUCUUA
rnacentral:tRNA from 1 species